rnacentral:rRNA from 1 species
CACGUAGGGGGCAAGCGUUGUCCGGAAUUAUUGGGCGUAAAGAGCGCGUAGGCGGUCCGAUAAGUCGGCUGUGAAAGUCAGGGGCUCAACACUUGAAAGCCGGCCGAUACUGUCGGACUAGAGUCCGGAAGAGGCGAGUGGAAUUCCCGGUGUAGCGGUGAAAUGCGCAGAUAUCGGGAGGAACACCAGUGGCGAAGGCGGGCACCUGGGCUAACACUGACGCUGAGGCGCGAAAGCUAGGGGAGCAAACCGG